UGCAGGAGAACAAAACAACUUAUAAAAUGAUUUUCAGGCGUGAAUGUAUUUCUUUGAGUUUACCUUGUUACUUGCAUUGUUUAUACCAUGGACUUUGCUCUUCUGCUCAUGUUUUGAUAAGAUAUUUCAACACUUCAAAGAUGAUAUAGCACACCGUUUGCAAACUAGAGGAUGAUAAGGUUUCACGCAGGCAGCAGAGCCCAUGAUUAUUUCUGCACCCCAACAUGUAAUUAUGGAGGUAUUUACUGGAACCUGAGCCCACAAUUCUCUGAAUCCAUGACUAAUGCAAGUCAGAACCAAGUUUAUUGGAUAAAAAGAAAAAAGAGGAGGAAAAAAAGAAGAUGGAGAAGAAGAAAAAGAAGAAGCAGAAGAGAAAGCAGAAGAAAAA